rnacentral:lncRNA from 1 species
UCGGAAUCGCAAAUUAAACAUUAUUUUCCCGAUACCGAUUCCACAAAAAACACCUAAUUCUCCGAUUCCGAUUAAUUGACCAAUCACUAACAGAUAAUACUUAGAUACCCUGCUCGCGGCCGCACUAAAAAGUAAAAUUGAAAUUAAACCAUCGUCCAUCUCUAUUUGAAUAAAGAAAGAAUAAAUAGAAGAAGCUAAACAAGUUAACACAAUAAUCAUAAUUGAGGAAUAUGAGAACUCAAUUGUCCAUUUAGUAUUACUUGUUUGUAAUACCAGUAAUUCUCCAAAUAAUAGUUAUUAUUUAACCCAUGGGGGAGGUUUGUAAAAAUAGAUAAAGCAUUCUCAUUAUCUUGAGGAUGUUGUGAAUUUGUGAAUUUGUCCCUGAUGAAGCAUCCGGCGGCGGACUCGAAGUUGAUUCGUGGGCUAAGUCCGGAAGUGGUUGAUCUCUCAUUAACUUUUAAUCCUUAUAUUGUUUGGACUUCAAUUUUCUAUUUCGGAAACUGAGGACUGUCUACAAAAAUAUAAUGGAAAGAGUCACUAUGACGUAUGCACAAAAUUGUUCAAUGUACGUAUGAAAUCCUCUUCUUCCUCUUGGGAAUUUCUCUGAAGUUAGACCUGAAGGAUUCGUUAGGUUCACCCAUUACUUUAUAAAAUAUUGUUACUACAACAGUUGUCGUCUCAUCAGUAGCUCGACAAAAAUCAGUACUUGUACUUGGUAAUUCAGGAGGCCCCACUUGUUAAAAUUGUUCAUCAGGAAAUUCUGAUUGAAAUCCCUAGAUAGUUAGAUGUUCAUCAAUAAAGGAAUGAUUCACAUGCAUAGAGACCCUCCAAGUGAAUCACUUUCGUACAUUUUUAGGGUCAAAGACUACUCAAAAAAUUGUUUAAUUGAGCUCUGGGAUGAUGUUUUAAACAGGGGUGGGUGUGUGCUGCUGAAUAAUG